rnacentral:pre_miRNA from 1 species
AGAUGAAUCACUUGGGCACCUUGUUACAAUGCAGAUUCUGAUCCAGUAGGUCUGGGAUGGUGCCCGAGAUUCUUCAUUUCUAAUAAGCUCCCAGGUGAUGCUGGU